rnacentral:rRNA from 1 species
GUGGGGAAUAUUGGACAAUGGGCGAAAGCCUGAUCCAGCCAUGCCGCGUGUGUGAAGAAGGUCUUCGGAUUGUAAAGCACUUUAAGUUGGGAGGAAGGGCAGUAAGUUAAUACCUUGCUGUUUUGACGUUACCGACAGAAUAAGCACCGGCUAACUUCGUGCCAGCAGCCGCGGUAAUACGAAGGGUGCAAGCGUAAAUCGGAAUUACUGGGCGUAAAGCGCGCGUAGGUGGUUUUGUAAGUUGGAGGUGAAAUCCCCGGGCUCAACCUGGGAACUGCCUCCAAAACUGCAUGACUAGAGUACGGUAGAGGGUAGUGGAAUUUCCUGUGUAGCGGUGAAAUGCGUAGAUAUAGGAAGGAACACCAGUGGCGAAGGCGACUACCUGGACUGAUACUGACACUGAGGUGCGAAAGCGUGGGGAGCAAACAGGAUUAGAUACCCUUGUAGUCC